rnacentral:lncRNA from 1 species
GCGCCUGUGUGUGACACCACCUUACGGCAGGUACGGCAGGUAUUAGAGAGGGCGCCUGUGUGUGACACCACCUUACGGCAGGUACGGCAGGUAUUAGAGAGGGCGCCUGUGUGUGACACCACCUUACGGCAGGUACGGCAGGUAUUAGAGAGGGCGCCUGUGUGUGACACCACCUUACGGCAGGUACGGCAGGUAUUAGAGAGGGCACCUGUGUGUGACACCACCUUACGGCAGGUACGGCAGGUAUUAGAGAGGGCACCUGUGUGUGACACCACCUUACGGCAGGUACGGCAGGUAUUAGAGAGGGCACCUGUGUGUGA